rnacentral:rRNA from 1 species
CGGAGGAAAAAAGAAACCCAACCCGGGAUUGCCUCAGUAACGGCGAGUGAAGCGGCAAGAGCUCAAAUUUGAAAGCUGGCCCCUUCGGGGUCCGCGUUGUAAUUUGCAGAGGAUGCUUCGGGUGCGGCCCCUGUCUAAGUGCCCUGGAACGGGCCGUCAGAGAGGGUGAGAAUCCCGUCUUGGGCAGGGUGCCCGUGCCCGUGUGAAGCUCCUUCGACGAGUCGAGUUGUUUGGGAAUGCAGCUCUAAAUGGGUGGUAAAUUUCAUCUAAAGCUAAAUACCGGCCGGAGACCGAUAGCGCACAAGUAGAGUGAUCGAAAGAUGAAAAGCACUUUGAAAAGAGAGUUAAACAGCACGUGAAAUUGUUGAAAGGGAAGCGCUUGCGACCAGACUCGGCCCCGGGGUUCAGCCAGCACUCGUGCUGGUGUACUUCCCCGGGGGCGGGCCAGCGUCGGUUUGGGCGGCCGGUCAAAGGCCCCAGGAAUGUAUCGCCCUCCGGGGUUGUCUUAUAGCCUGGGGUGCAAUGCGGCCAGCCCGGACCGAGGAACGCGCUUCGGCACGGACGCUGGCGUAAUGGUCGCAAACGACCCGUCUUGAAACACGGACCAAGGAGUCUAACAUCUACGCGAGUGUUCGGGUGUCAAACCCGUACGCGCAGUGAAAGCGAACGGAGGUGGGAGCCCCCCCGGGGCGCACCAUCGACCGAUCCUGAUGUCUUCGGAUGGAUUUGAGUAAGAGCGUAGCUGUGGGGACCCGAAAGAUGGUGAACUAUGCCUGAAUAGGGCGAAGCCAGAGGAAACUCUGGUGGAGGCUCGCAGCGGUUCUGACGUGCAAAUCGAUCGUCAAAUUUGGGUAU